AGUGAACGCUGGCGGUAGGCCUAACACAUGCAAGUCGAACGGCAGCACAGUAAGAGCUUGCUCUUACGGGUGGCGAGUGGCGGACGGGUGAGGAAUACAUCGGAAUCUACUUUUUCGUGGGGGAUAACGUAGGGAAACUUACGCUAAUACCGCAUACGACCUACGGGUGAAAGCAGGGGAUCUUCGGACCUUGCGCGAUUGAAUGAGCCGAUGUCGGAUUAGCUAGUUGGCGGGGUAAAGGCCCACCAAGGCGACGAUCCGUAGCUGGUCUGAGAGGAUGCUACCCCAACCGGGAACUGAAACACGGCCCAGCCCCCUCGGGGGGGCAGCGGGGGGGAAUUUGGGAAAAGGGGCGAAAGCCUGAUCCAGCCAUACCGGGGGGGUGAAGAAGGCCUUCGGGUUGUAAAGCCUUUUUGUUGGGAAAAAAAAGCAGCAGGUUAAUACCCCGCUGUUCGGACGGUACCCAAAGAAUAAGCACCGGCUAACUUCGU
rnacentral:rRNA from 1 species